AAGUCGUAACAAGGUUUCCGUAGGUGAACCUGCGGAAGGAUCAUUAAUUAAUCGCGAAAUGCGUGGGGAGCCUUGUAAGUCUGCGGAGCUCCUAGUCUGGACUCUUCAGCGCUGGCCCGCGCCUCCUUUUGAUUACAUCCCAUCUGUGAACUUUUCCACUGUUGCUUCCGUGAGCCUGCUGUUCACGCUCUCUGAGAGUGGAUGCCUGAAAAGCCCUGGUCCUGCCAGGGGCGCACGGCAAUGGUACUAGAACUCUGGUUUUUAUGUCUUCCAAGUCUGAGUGAUAAAACACAUCAAACAAGUUAAA
rnacentral:misc_RNA from 1 species